UUCCCAGUUCUCCGCAUCGGCCCUCCUCCCCCACUGCGUCCUACUCGGUGGGUUAAGGAUCUGGCAUUGCUGUGAGCUGUGGUGUAGGUCACAGAUGCGCCUCGGAUCCCGCGUUGCUGUGGCUGUGGUGUAGGCCGGCAUCUACCGCUCUGAUUUGACCCCUAGCCUGGGAACUUCCAUAUGCCGAGGGAGUGGCCCAAGAAAUGGCAAACAACAACAACAACAACAACAACACCUAAAACAAAGAGACAACAUACCUGCUAAUGAAUGAAGUUAUCUGUGGGAAUGGCUUGGCUGGACUGUGUACUCUCAGUUCCCAGAGUUCUAGGUGGCGUCUUGCGAUGAUAUGUUUUUUUCCCAGAAUGAGGACCGUGUGAGGAACCCCACAGUGAGGUUCCAUGGGGUGGACCUGGGGGAGAAUUACUAAUGGUUGGAAUGAAUGAGUCCUCAUGAUGCAGUUUGUUGACGAUGGGUGGAUGCGUCUGUUCCAGAAGAUGGUUUGUCUACUGCAGGGGCAAGGCUUUGGGGGCGGUCCUCUGAUAUGGGGUCUCAGAGAAUUAGGAUGGUGCUUUUCAUCCCCCUGUCUUUGGUUGAUUCACUCAUUCAGCAGACACUUGUUCGGCCCAAACUCUGUGCCAUUGUGUAAGGUGUUAAAGAGUCCAGAGUGAAAAGACAGUCUCUGCCCUGAAGGAGCUCAAUAGAUUUGUGGAAGGGAUAGGCAAGCUAAGAAAUAAUUAUCGACUGUGAAGUAAGUGCUUAUAGAGGGAUAUGGCUAAUGCCAGUUCUGACUGCAUGGAGGGAGGUAACAAAAAAGAAAAAACAAAGCAAAAAAACAGAACAACCAGGGAAAAAUCUGAGCAAAGCCUUUUGCUUUGUUUCCAUCUUUAAGCAUGCAUUUCAAAUUUCUCUUGUAUUGAUUGGUUAGGUCUCUUUUGGUUGUAAGAAGACCCAAUUCAAACUGCCUUAAGCCAAGCUGGGAUUUAAUUGGCUUAGAUGAGACCAAAAGAAUCUAAAAGAGUAGGGCUGCAGGCUGGGCUGGAUCCAGAGCUUCCACUCUUUUGACAGGGCCGUGUCUACACAGGGGCACUCCAUGCUCACUUCCACUCCAUUCCAGUCCCAGAGGGAGAGAGCAUCCUUUUCUCCCAAAGACUGUCGCUAAAGUCUCAAGAUCAACUGUGAGUGCUUCUGAUUGGGUCACAUGGUUUUCCCUGGAAAUGGGUAUGGAGUCAACCCCAUCUAAAGCACAGGGACUGAGAGUUGGGGAGCCCUGACUCCCCAAGGGAAACAGGGCUGCUGGUCAGGAAAUAAGAAACGUCGUGUCCUGUCUUUCACAGUCUUGCUAAAAAGCAAGAUAAUUUUGUUUUUUGAAAAUCCUAGGUGCUGAUAAUCCAGAGGAGGCAGGUGGUGAUUGAGGAACGUGUACACAGGAUGAGGCGCUUGAGGAAAGUGAAUUAUGAGGUCAAAGAGUCCAGGAGGAAAGGAAUCCGGAGGACUAACCAGAAGAGUUAUUACCUAAGUGAGGCUCUGGGAGGGAGUGUCUCACUGGGUGUGGGUUUCUGCCUUGACUGA
ensembl:lncRNA